rnacentral:tRNA from 1 species
GCGGUCAUGGCGGAACGGCAGACGCGCUGUCUUGAGGGGGCAGUGGGGGUAUCCCUGUGUGGGUUCAAAUCCCACUGGCCGCA